rnacentral:rRNA from 1 species
UACGAAGGGGGCUAGCGUUGUUCGGAAUUACUGGGCGUAAAGCGCACGUAGGCGGAUACUUAAGUCAGGGGUGAAAUCCCGGGGCUCAACCCCGGAACUGCCUUUGAUACUGGGGUAUCUCGAGUCCGGAAGAGGUGAGUGGAAUUCCGAGUGUAGAGGUGAAAUUCGUAGAUAUUCGGAGGAACACCAGUGGCGAAGGCGGCUCACUGGUCCGGUACUGACGCUGAGGUGCGAAAGCGUGGGGAGCAACAGG